rnacentral:lncRNA from 1 species
CUCCGCUGGCCCGCGUGAAACCCUCUCCGCUGCCUCGACUGACUGUCGUUUCCGUGUCUUGAUUGUGGCCUCUGCCUCUCCCCCUUCCGAUUUCGUUCGACUUCUUUCUACGGUUACUAAGCGCCCACUGUGUGCCCUGGAAGGGACUAGACUCAGCAGGAAAAACAUCCAGGCAAGUGGAAAGCAUUUGCAUCAGCCCAGCAAUAAGAAGGACCAUAUUCUACUUGGGAAAAGCCUGCCAGGAAACCUGUCAUUCAACCCUUUGCAAUAAAACAGCUCCUCAUGAAUGAAGCAAAAUAAAUCAGAAGUCGUGGGCUUUUAAAUUCACUAAAUGAAAGCCCAGCAUGCAUGCAGCCUCCCUCCAAAUUAAUCACCAGAUUAAAUGCAAGAUGUGCACACCAAAUCAAUAGCUUGUGACAGAGACCUCCUGCCUGUGCUUCAGGAAAAUUCCAUUUCCUUUCAGAUGUUGUAGCUUGAAAUGUCAGGAAGUUUCCAUUCAUCACCCGCCCUUGAAAAUGCCACCAUCACCAUGCUUCAUGUUUCCUUGCUUUCUUUCUUCAGAGGAAUCCAAGCACCUUGCAGAGGGAGCCCACUCAUUGUCACAG